GGGCCGUUAGCUCAGUCGGUAGAGCAUUGCACUUUUAAUGCAGUGGUCACUGGUUCGAAUCCAGUACGGCCCA
rnacentral:tRNA from 1 species